CCAGAGAUGGAUUGGUGCCUUCGGGAACCGUGAGACAGGUGCUGCAUGGCUGUCGUCAGCUCGUGUUGUGAAAUGUUGGGUUAAGUCCCGCAACGAGCGCAACCCUUAUCCUUUGUUGCCAGCGGUCCGGCCGGGAACUCAAAGGAGACUGCCAGUGAUAAACUGGAGGAAGGUGGGGAUGACGUCAAGUCAUCAUGGCCCUUACGACCAGGGCUACACACGUGCUACAAUGGCGCAUACAAAGAGAAGCGACCUCGCGAGAGCAAGCGGACCUCAUAAAGUGCGUCGUAGUCCGGAUUGGAGUCUGCAACUCGACUCCAUGAAGUCGGAAUCGCUAGUAAUCGUGGAUCAGAAUGCCACGGUGAAUACGUUCCCGGGCCUUGUACACACCGCCCGUCACACCAUGGGAGUGGGUUGCAAAAGAAGUAGGUAGCUUAACCUUCGGGAGGGCGCUUACCACUUUGUGAUUCAUGACUGGGGUGAAGUCGUAACAAGGUAACCGUAGGGGAACCUGCGGUUGGAUCACCUCCUUACCUUAAAGAAGC
rnacentral:rRNA from 1 species